GAGAAGGUUACGGGUCGCUAGAAGCUCUGUUGUUGGAGAAGAACGUGCGUGAGAGUAACUGUUCACGCAGUGACAGUAUCCAACCAGAAAGUCACGGCUAACUACGUGCC
rnacentral:rRNA from 1 species